CCACAGCCAAUUAAGCUGACUAUACCCUUCCGCCCUGGGGGUCUGGUGUGUAAUGGUUGCAAACAGUAGCCUCUGUGGUUAGUAUAUGCAGCCUGUUGUUUGUAUUGGUUGCCUUGAGGGGCCUUGGAAACAGUC
ensembl:snoRNA SNORA70 Small nucleolar RNA SNORA70